GAUGAAGAACGUAGCGAAAUGCGAUAAGUAAUGUGAAUUGCAGAAUUCAGUGAAUCAUCGAAUCUUUGAACGCACAUUGCGCCCGCCAGUAUUCUGGCGGGCAUGCCUGUUCGAGCGUCAUUUCAACCAUCAAGCCCCAGGCUUGUGUUGGGGACCUGCGGCUGCCGCAGGCCCUGAAAAACAGUGGCGGGCUCGCUAGUCACACCGAGCGUAGUAGCAUACACAUCGCUUAGGACGUGCUGCGGGUUCCGGCCGUUAAACCCCCCUCUAUAUCAAGGUUGACCUCGGAUCAGGUAGGAAGACCCGCUGAACUUAAGCAUAUCAAUAAGCGGAGGA
rnacentral:misc_RNA from 1 species